CUUGCUUCUCAGCGUUAUGACUAAUAUCAAGUGUAGUGCAUCCUCUUAUCAGUUUAAUAUCUGAUUCUCCAUGUCAGAACUGCAUAUUAAGUUGCUUUUUGAAAUUAGAAGUGUGGAUUAGAGCUUGUUUUAUUGCUUGUCGUUUGCCAUCCUGGGAUCUUUCUGGGAGGAAAGGCAGGAUGAUA